rnacentral:rRNA from 1 species
UACGGAGGGUGCAAGCGUUAUCCGGAUUUAUUGGGUUUAAAGGGUCCGUAGGCGGAUAAUUAAGUCAGUGGUGAAAGCCCACAGCUCAACUGUGGAACUGCCAUUGAUACUGGUUAUCUUGAGUGCGGUUGAAGUUGGCGGAAUAUGUCAUGUAGCGGUGAAAUGCUUAGAUAUGACAUAGAACACCUAUUGCGAAGGCAGCCAACUAAGCCGUAACUGACGUUGAGGGACGAAAGCGUGGGGAGCGAACAGGAUUAGAUACCCUGGUAGUCCACGCCGUAAACGAUGAUUACUCGGUAUUGGCGUAAGUCAGUGCCCAAGCGAAAGUGAUAAGUAAUCCACCUGGGGAGUACGGCCGCAAGGUUG